AUUGAACGCUGGCGGCAGGCCUAACACAUGCAAGUCGAACGGUAACAGGCAGAAGCUUGCUUCUUUGCUGACGAGUGGCGGACGGGUGAGUAAUGUCUGGGAAACUGCCUGCUGGAGGGGGAUAACUACUGGAAACGGUAGCUAAUACCGCAUAACGUCGCAAGCCCAAAGAGGGGGACCUUCGGGCCUCUUGCCAUCGGAUGUGCCCAGAUGGGAUUAUCUAGUAGGUGGGGUAACGGCUCCCCUAGGCGGCGGUCCCUAGCUGGUCUGAGAGGAUGACCGGCCACACUGGAACUGAGACACGGUCCGGACUGCUGCGGGAGGCAGCAGUGGGGAGUGUUGCACGAUGGGCGCAAGCCUGAUGCAGCCAUGCCGCGUGUAUGAGGAAGGCCUUCUGGUGGUAAAGUACUUUCAGCGGGGAGGAAGGGAGUAAUGUUAAUGCCUUGGCUCAUUGACGUUACCCGCAGAAGAAGCACCGGCUAACUACGUG
rnacentral:rRNA from 1 species